rnacentral:rRNA from 1 species
GACGUAGGGCGCGAGCGUUGUCCGGAUUUAUUGGGCGUAAAGAGCUCGUAGGCGGCUUGUCGCGUCGACUGUGAAAUCCCGCGGCUCAACUGCGGGUCUGCAGUCGAUACGGGCAGGCUAGAGUUCGGUAGGGGAGACUGGAAUUCCUGGUGUAGCGGUGAAAUGCGCAGAUAUCAGGAGGAACACCGGUGGCGAAGGCGGGUCUCUGGGCCGAUACUGACGCUGAGGAGCGAAAGCGUGGGUAGCAAACAGG